rnacentral:rRNA from 1 species
UUAUUCUGUUGGUAACGUCAAAACAGCAAGGUAUUAACUUACUGCCCUUCCUCCCAACUUAAAGUGCUUUACAAUCCGAAGACCUUCUUCACACACGCGGCAUGGCUGGAUCAGGCUUUCGCCCAUUGUCCAAUAUUCCCCACUGCUGCCUCCCGUAGGAGUCUGGACCGUGUCUCAGUUCCAGUGUGACUGAUCAUCCUCUCAGACCAGUUACGGAUCGUCGCCUUGGUAGGCCUUUACCCCACCAACUAGCUAAUCCGACCUAGGCUCAUCUGAUAGCGUGAGGUCCGAAGAUCCCCCACUUUCUCCCUCAGGACGUAUGCGGUAUUAGCGCCCGUUUCCGGACGUUAUCCCCCACUACCAGGCAGAUUCCUAGGCAUUACUCACCCGUCCGCCGCUGAAUCCAGGAGCAAGCUCCCUUCAUCCGCUCGACUUGCAUGUGUUAGGCCUGCCGCCAGCGUUCAAUCUGAGCCAGGAUCAAACUCUG